ACCCCAGCAUGUCGAGCGCUCCACCAUCAGUAGUACUGAUAGUGAUGUUGUAGUAGUGUCAUCUAAUGAUCGUAAGAGUUAGUCAGGUUAAGUUAUCAGUGAUGGUGUUAUAGUGAAGGUCAGGACAGUGACCAACCUCAAAGUGACUGAAAGUUCAGUUGAAUGUCAGUGGUUGUGGGGGGAGGGGUGUGUUGCUCCUCCGUUCACCCCGCCGGCUUUACCGCUUCCUCAUUCUCUUAAAACGGCUAAAUAACGUGUGGUAACUGUGGAGUGCUGUGCCUGGAACAUCUUAGUGAUCAACACAGCCACCUUGACCAGUUUGAGGAGUGGAGAGAACCACAGUAGUAAAUGGUCUGACCCAUAACAUUUAGUGAUGGAGUUGUGUGGAGAUGCAGCAGCUGGGUACGUCGUCAGAGAUGGGCGGGGCCCACUUGUAAGGAUGGAACUGGAGGACUUGGAGGUGUUGGCAGUGUGGCAGAGGAAUGACUAGUGGCGCCACUAUUCUUGCCCUUCACGGGUAAGUGGCGCCAUUGACCUAGGGGAAGGGAGUGAUGAUGAUAGUGGUUGUUUGCGG